GCCUAUGAGAAAAUUACCCGGAAUACUCCCGAUCCUGUCAGAUCUCACAAGCUAAGCUGGCUCGAGCCUAGCUAGUGGUUGGAUGGGUGACCACCUGCAUUAAACAUAUCGUUGGCU
rnacentral:rRNA from 1 species